rnacentral:lncRNA from 1 species
CCACAUACAAGGCUAGGAGUGUCCAAUUUGAUUGGAAAAAGUAUGAGGGUUCACAAUAGAGAUUGAGGAUUCGAAUGGACACAAAAGAUCUACCAAAACAAGAGUCAAAAAAAUUGAACAGAUUCAACAAUAUCCGUCUGUACCGUGAGCUAGGGUUGGCCACAUCAAACGCUAGAAGUUUCCAAUUUGAGUGGAAAAAGUAUGAGGCUUCACAUUAGAUAUUGAGGAUUUGAAUGGACA